AGAGUUUGAUUCUGGCUCAGGGUAAACGCUGGCGGCGUGCGUAACACAUGCAAGUCGAACGGGUUAUUACUCUUCGGAGUAAUGAUCAGUGGCGAACGGGUGAGUAAAAGGUAGGGACCUACCCCGAGGACAGAGAUAGCUACUGGAAACGGUAGGUAAACUCUGAUAAGCCCGAGAGGGGAAAGUGGGAGUCAGCCUUGGGAUGGACCUACUAUCCAUCAGGUAGUUGGUGAGGUAAAGGCUCACCAAGCCGAUGACGGAUAACCGGUGUGAGAGCAUGGACGGUCACAAGGGCACUGAGACACGGGCCCUACUCCUACGGGAGGCAGCAGUGGGGAAUAUUGGACAAUGGGCGAAAGCCUGAUCCAGCGACGCCGCGUGAAGGAAGAAGUCCUUCGGGAUGUAAACUUCUGAACUAAUCGAAUAAGAGGGUAGUGGACACACUACAGAAGAAGGUAGAUUAGGAAAGGUCCCGGCUAACUACGUGCCAGCAGCCGCGGUAAGACGUAGGGGGCGAGCGUUGCCCGGAAUCACUGGGUGUAAAGGGGACGUAGGCGGAUGAUCAAGUCAUCUGUGAAAAGAUUGCUCAACGAUUGGCUUGCGGAUGAAACUGGUCAUCUUGGGCGUAGCAGAGGUAGACGGAAUUACCUGAGUAGGGGUGAAAUCCGCAGAUACAGGUAAGAAGGCCGGUGAAGAAGUUGGUCUACUGGGCUACAGCUGACGCUGAGGUCCGAAAGCCAGGGGAGCGAACCGGAUUA
rnacentral:rRNA from 1 species